rnacentral:rRNA from 1 species
AUUGAACGCUGGCGGCAUGCCUUACACAUGCAAGUCGAACGGUAACAGGUUAAGCUGACGAGUGGCGAACGGGUGAGUAAUGUAUCGGAACGUGCCCAGUCGUGGGGGAUAACUACUCGAAAGAGUGGCUAAUACCGCAUACGAUCUCUGGUUGAAAGCGGGGGACCGAAAGGCCUCGCGCGAUUGGAGCGGCCGAUGUCAGAUUAGGUAGUUGGUGGGGUAAAGGCUCACCAAGCCAACGAUCUGUAGCUGGUCUGAGAGGAAGAUCAGCCACACUGAGACUGGGACACGGCCCAGACUCCUACGGGAGGCAGCAGUGGGGAAUAUUGGACAAUGGGCGCAAGCCGGAUCCAGCCAUACCGCGUGGGUGAAGAAGGCCUUCGGGUUGUAAAGCCCUUUUGUUGGGAAAGAAAUCCAUCUUGUUAAUACCCGGGUGGGAUGACGGUACCCAAAGAAUAAGCACCGGCUAACUUCGUGCCAGCCGCCGCCGUAAUAC